rnacentral:rRNA from 3 species
UAGCUUAACCUUCGGGAGGGCGCUUACCACUUUGUGAUUCAUGACUGGGGUGAAGUCGUAACAAGGUAACCGUAGGGGAACCUGCGGUUGGAUCACCUCCUUA